CAAAGUGUAAACAUCGAAACAAAAGGUGAUUUUUAAGCUAAACAAGAAACGUCUUUUUGAAAAUUAAACAUUAUUUAAUGCAUGAUUGAUUGACCUCAUUGACUAGUGCUUGCAUGUUUGUGGAUGGUCAAAAGUAAUAUUUUUUAACAUUUAAUACACAAAGCAAACAAUCGUAUAUUUUACUCACCACUUGGUCAAACAUUCUGUAUUUCGUAUCGAGAAAAACUUGAAUAUUUCUUGAACUCUUCGGAAUUCGCCACCAGUCAAAGAAGUAAAAUACUCCUUGUAUUCAAACGCUUUCGUGUAGAAAAUUUCUUUUGAAUACGGCCAGUAGAAAUAUUUAUUUUUAA